UAUCGCGUGCUAUAUAUUAUUAUUAGAUAUAUUUAUUUUUAUUUUAUGUACCCAUUCACCACAAGAUAGAACAUAUUUUUUCUGUAGUACUUUAAAAUAAUAAUAGUAUAGUCAAUUGCUGUAAUAAUAAUAACAGAGGAGUGCGCUCAUUCUUUCGCGGAUAAACCUGUAUUAUUAUUAUAGAAUUGCAUGUGUAAUAGUUUAUUAUGGUAGCCGGUAUGCUGGGUAAGUAGAGUUAGCACCUAUACUUAGCAGUUACGCCCGUACAACUGCAAUCGAUGUAAGUUUGAAAAACUGUCAUGUGCUUUGAAAACGACAUUUAACAACAUAAUUAGUAUGUAUUAUCUUUAUGGCUUUAUAAACGUUAUUGAUGUGCUGCCUUUUAGCGUUUAUGUAUUUAUGUAUUUAGUCGUGCACGUAGCACGUAGGUAUAUAAUAUUAUGGUUUACCGCAUAGACCAAAACAUUAUAUAUUUAUCAUUUAACAGUACAGAGAAAAAUUGAUCUACCAAGAAGGAUAAUAUUAUCUAACUUCUGAUGAAAAACAAUUAUUUUAUUAAAUUAUUUUCGAGGAAGCCGUUCAUUAUAAUAAUGCAUUUAAACGUGAUUCGACUUUGAAUGGUUUUUAUUCUGUAGUUAAACAAUUUGUUUUUUCUCUCAGGUUAAAAUACUUUAUAGAAAUUAUUAAUUAUAUUGAAAUUAUUAUAACACGCCAUAUAAUAAAUAUAGUAACAAAGUCGACACAAAUGUGAAUAUAUUUAUCCAACGCUAAAGUUUAAAAAGAUUUUUUUCGAUUAAAAAUAAAAAUAAAUAUAUAUUACUGUGUUAAAAAUAUCUUUGCCCUACUUUCGGUUAUUAAUGCUGCGAUCAAUUUUAUUUCUUUUGUUAUUGAAAUAAUUCACACUCCGUGGUUUAAACAUCUUUAAAAGGGAAUAUAUUUUUUAAUAUAAUUUUAAUUUUGAAACGCAAAACGGUUCAAUUACGUCCAUCUUUUGGUAAUGCAAGAUAUCUCAGAAAGUCAGAAUUAAACAAUAUAUUAUAUAAUAAUAUAACAACAAACUACUCUAGUUUUUUUUUUCAAUCAUUCGGAAGAAUGAAUCAAUGCGUGCGUCGUCACAGUUGAAAACAAAAUAACGACAAAUAAUAAUAACUGUUACUAUGAUAAUUUAUAAUAGUAAAUGACUGAUAAUAACUAUAUAACUCCGACAAUUGGUUCCCAACGAAAUGAGCAGAGUAAUAUGCUGCCAUUUAAUUUUUGACGAUCGUUAACACUUUUUAAUGAUAGGUAAGCAUACCGUGUACGCAUUAUGUAUAUUAUAAGAAAUUAUAUUGAACCGAAUAAGUGACGUUCGACAUUCAUUUUCGAGUACAACUAAAACGGUUCGUUAAACUCCAAACAGUCAUACAGCAGAAUUCCUUCAUUUAUUAUAAUAUAUUAUUUGCUAUUAGGUGUGUAAUGUGUUAUUAUAUGUAUAAUGUAUAUAUAUAUAUAAUUACUAACUGCUUAGCUGUUUUACUGCUGCGUAUAAUGCUGUAGUUUGUAUUUUUUUAUUAUAUAUUAUAAUAUGUUAUAUGUAUAAUCAACACGUGUACGAAAUAGGAUGAUAUUGCAAACGGAAGGAAAAACCGCGAAUAAAAGAUUUUUUACCGAUGAUUAAUUUUUUAUUUAUAAUAUAUUUUAGAAAUGAAUAAAAUAUCGUUUUGGGAAAUACGUCCAUGUGAAUGCUUUCCCUUCGCUUGUUGAUGUAUUCUAUCACACUAUAUCACAGUGAAUGCUUUGGGUAGUAAUUACAAUUUUGGCACGACCGGGUUAGGUUUUAUACACGAUAACAAAAUAAUGUAAACAUUACACUUCGUCCGUCUAUAAUUCAGAAAUGAGAGAGAGUGAGAUUUUUCUCAUUUUUUACAUUUUGCAAACUUGUAAUAUUUUAUACUUAAUAAUUAAAAUAUUUAACAAAUAAAAAUGAAAGUACUUAUUUUUUAAUAUUUAUUCAUUAAAUUAAUUUUUUACAGUAAUAUUGGCGAGAUCUGUCAUAAAAUUAUUCCAAUUGUAUAAAACAUAGUUCUGUUAAUUGUAUUCUAUACAUUUAGCUAAUGUUAUUUAAAAUAUUUUCUAACUUGUAAUUCCAUAUAUCUAUGUAUGAUCCCUCUAAGUUUUUUCAAAAACCAAAUCAUAACAAUAUUAGGAAAUUUCUCCACUUUUUUCAUUCGUCUUUUUUUCAUUGUCUUGUUGACAAUCUCAAUGUUAGUCAAUACGAAUACUUCCUUGUUAUUCAUUUUAAAUAAAUAUGAUAAACAAAUAACUGAUAACUGAUUACCAAACAACUGGAGUGCUUCGACAAUUUAUAAUGUUAAACACAACGUAAACAACCAAUUCCCUGGAUUAGUGAUGCUCUAAAUAUUUUUUUCUUCUGCGAGCUAUAAAAAUAUUAUCAUGUUGUAUUCGUGCUUUUAUUCUAAAAAGUAAAUACUAUCCAAUAAUAGAAAAAAAAGAAGUUUAAAAAAUGAUUGUAUUUCCUAUUUAUUAAUAUAGCUUAAAGUUUGGCCACAAACCACAUAAAUAUAUAGGGCUUUGGUGAAACACGGUUGGGCCAUCACUGCUCUUGUAUAGAGAUCGAUACAAAACGAUUAUGGUAGGUAAUGUACACAAAUGCAUAUACGCGCGUAUCCUUUGUACGCACUUCGACCAUCAACAAAGUGAUGUGUAGUUGUGUUGUUGAAAUUUACAACUUAAUAAGUUACACUCUAUCUUCAAAUGUCCUAACUCCUAAAUACAUCUACCUAUAUUUUACGUCUAUAUUUUUGUCACAUAUGACAAAUAUAUUAUAAUAUAUAUUGAAAUAAGUAUAAGUUAUAAAAUCUAUAAAAGCUCACACAAUGUUCAAUAUAUAGGUAGGAAUAAUUAAACAUUUUAAAUUAAAUUGAUUAAGUUAUUACAGAAAAACAUUUAUAUACGACUUUUCAUCAAAUUUGACAAAAUCACAGCGUUUAUAAAAAAAAAAACGAUGUUGACGGUUAAGGUCAUUUUUUAAAACAAAAAAUUUUUUUUAAUAAAACAAAUCAUAUUUUACGUUUACGUUAGUGUAUGUGUGUGUGUGUGUGUGUGUACGUGCGCGCUAAAGCACGCUGACGCUCGCGAAAUCUUUAGCGAACGUUCGAUAUUAAAACGCAAUUCUUACGAAGAUAUCGCACGUCGAGUCCUCGAAGACCACCAAAAAUUUCUGCAUCACACUCACGCUUCAGAACCCGUUUUCUGUCAAUAACGACCUGUGUAAAUUAUAUACACUAGGUGAACACGUGUUUACAUCGUGUACCUAUCAACUCGUUACCUGCAAAUUUUCGUGUCGCAUCUAAAUUUUGCAUCACAAAUUCGGUGGGGAUCACAUCAUAAUAAUAUUCAUUAGUAAAAUUCGAUCUCCGCGUUAUUAUAAAUAAUGUUGUUUUGUAACGUAAAAUUCGAUGACCCUGUGUUUAGAAACAUAUAUAAAUACAGACAGGUAAGUAGGUAUAUAGACAGUAAAACAGGCGUGUAAUUGUCUCUGCACGUGCAUGUGCACGUGAUCAACGAGGACGAAUUUGUUUUUUUUACUUUUCACGGCGUUUUUUACUCGCGCUCGUGAAUAUAUACUAUGACGGCCACCAUCGUGGCGUGACCCACUGACUGCGGGCCGUCACUGCCUAUAUACCUCCUAUAGCCAUCGUAUAAACAACGCGGGAGGCGAUUACGCCAAUUCCCGGGCCCGCGUUUGCGUGUUUUGUAAACAUCACCGGUUUCGCUAUUAUAUAUAUGUAUAUAACAAAUUAUACUGUAGGUGUAUAUUUAACACUCAUAUCGAGAGGUACAAAAAUUUUAUACCGCUACGAACGUGACGUCACUCAGAGCCGGAUUGAAAUAAAAUAUUACUGCGUAGGUAAAUCGUUCUAGACCUUUUUCUACCCCUUUUGCUCAUCACCGGUUCGUAAUUUAUUUUACUCAAACUAACAUAAUUUGUUAUACAAACAAAUCCAAAAAAAAAAAAAUAAUAAUAAUAAUAAUUUUCCCUCGUCAACAAUAGUAUACGUCAUAUUAUAUGUAUUGGAAAUGUUCAAUAAUUAAAUCGCUAUUUACACUAGUUGUUACACUGCUGAGUGUAUUAUAACUUAUAAGCAUAAGUGCAGAAAACCACAUACGAUGGUGUCAUUCCCUGGCAGACACCAGAUCGACAUUUUUAUCGUGUUUGACACAAAUAUUGAGUAUUACGUAGGUAUAUUUAGUUAUUCUUCAAGAAAAUAAUGGGCCCCAUUGAACGUGUUCAUAUGGUAGCUAUAAUCACUGCAUAUAAUCGGAUGAAAAUGUAUUUUUUUUUAAAUUUCAGGCCCUUAUUUGUUUAUACUACAACAUAAUUUAUAUUGUACUGUCAUUGUAUACUGCAGUAUUUUUGUUAUAAUAUUUAUUUUCAAAAUAUAUAAAACACGAAUAAUUUUUUUUAGUGACAUUUUAACAUUCGAUUCUGUUAUAUAUACGCUUUGUGCUAUGUAUUCAAGCUAUUUGUUACUAUUUGUUAAUAUUCCGAAUAAUUGAGUAACUCAUUUAUUUAGGUACCUCUGGAAUAGUGACGACACCGCGUCACUUUGACCCAUGAUAAAUCAUUGUCCACAAAAACAAGUGUUCACAAGAGUACACCACCAACAAAAAUUAGGCACAUGAAAUAACCUACAGUCUGAUACAUCAUCUGCAGACAUUUGAUUGUCUAAGAGAGGAACAACUGGCUUUCAAACAAAAUUUGGGACCAAGUUUACACAGGAUAUUUUAUUGAAAUAUCUAAAAUACUUAAGUUCUAUAUAUAUUUGUAUAAUAUAAUUACAUCGAUAUAAAAACAACAAACGAAGAGCAUAGUUUAAUAUACAGCACUACACAUUACGAAGACUUGCAAAACAUAUUACGCUAAUGAAACGUAAAAGUAUUAAUAUUGUAUGGCUCAUCUAAAAAAAAAAAAGAAACACAAUAAAAUGCAUACAUAUAUAAUUGUAUAAAAAAAAUUGUAACAUUUUGCAAUGAUCCACUCAGCCGCUUACUGCUUUAAAUUGGCUAUUAAAUCAAAGUGAAAGCUUACAAUAAUAUUAAAUUAUUCUGUGCAGCUAGAUUAAUCGAGCGUUUAAUUAUAAAUUAAAUAUCUUCUGAGCGUAUAUUACCGAAUUACCGUACAGAGACUUUUUUGUAAGUAACUGUAAUGAUAUACUCGUUUAUAAUUUCUAUAAACGAUACAUACAUAAAUAUUCAAUGUUUUGAAAGCGUCAUAGUGUCAUACAACACGAUAUUUAUAGGUACCUACUUGGCACUUGCUAACUUAUACUUAAUUUGACUGAAGUGAUUCACAUGCAGCUUCUUCCAUUUAAUCGAUGUAUUUAUUUAUUUAAAACGUAUUGCUUCAGUACUUCUACGGAUAUGGAAUAUUUAAUUUUUAAUUAUCUAAUAAUUAACUUUGAAAUUUCUC